rnacentral:lncRNA from 1 species
AAAAGUCAAGAUGAAAACUGAUCGAAUGUGGCUGGAAAAGUUUCUGUAAGACCCCAGGAAAAUCAUUGCUCUUUCCCCUCCCACUCUAAUUAUUACCUUCCAUUUUACUACAGGAGCUAAAUUAUUGUUGUCAUACCACAUGACAUCACAUUAUCACUGGAGGCUAGCCAACGAGGCAGAAGCUGGAGUCUGGUGGAAAUGCCAAACACCUAGAAGAAUGUCUUAUGAGGGAUCCAUUAAUGAAGACUACUCUUCAUGGAAUUUUUUUCUUGCACUGGAGGACUAAGCAGAUAUAGUAUUUUGGGCCGUUUUCCAAAUGGUAUCUGCCAAAAAGUUCUUCUCGUCUAUAUGUUAUACCACAAUGAAGUUUGCAGCAGUUCAGAUAGCGUCCAUAGGUUUUACACCAAUUUAGCAAUGAGUUGUCACUAAAGGACUGAAAAUACGCAUCGAUUGUGUUUAUCCAAUUCAUGUGAAAACUCCAUUCUUUGCAAAAUCUUUGCAUAUUAUAUAUCUAUAAAUAACCAAACAAAGAAAAUAAGUGUGAUCAAGUUCCUAAUUUCCUUCUUUAAUUAAAUUGUCUUUCACCAAAACGUUUUCAAGGUGGCCUGGUUUUUAAAAAAAUUUGUUUGAAAAAUAGCAUUCAUGAAAAACCUAAAUUUGGUACUAAGUAGAUGAACAAUGGAUUAUUUGCUUACUAGGCAUUUAUCGAGUGCCUGAUAGGUGCAGGGAAUGUGAUGGGUAUUAGUAAUACAAAGAUAAAACAGAAAGUCUAGUCUAGAAGACAACCUAUCCAAACAGUGUUAGGGAAGGACGGGCUGCCAGUGGUAAAAGGGAUACUCAGAUUCUAAAUAUUAUAGAAAGCUUCCAGUUAACGCUGAGACUUGAAUGAAUCCAUAAGGUGAAGUGUGUGUCUGUGUGUGAGGACUUGUCCGUGGGGAAGGGAUUAUAGACAAGUUGAAACUGUUGCAGACAAAGAGAACAGAAUACGUGAGGGCUCUGUGGCCAGUAGAAACAUGGCACAUUCCAGUUGAACUGUACUUAGUGUGACUGAAAUAUCAAAUACAGAAUGUUUCCGGCAUGCUUGUUACAGGGCGGGACAAGGGAUGUGAACGGCAAGAAGACUGGAGAAGUAGAAUUCUAACAAAGGAAAGUGGUAGAUGGAUUCAAG